rnacentral:lncRNA from 1 species
GUAUAAACUUCUUGGUAAAAAUACUAGCGAAGCAACAGCAUGUGCCUUAACAGAAAUCACCACAGAUGUCCUCGUGUGUCCCCUUCGGCCAGUGGAGCGCUUCCGAGACCUGCGUCCCGAUGAAGUGGCGGAUUUGUUUCAGGCCACCCAGAGAGUCGGGAUGGUGGUGGAGAAGCAUUUCCAGGGGACUUCUCUCACCUUUUCCAUGCAGGAUGGCCCUGAAGCCGGACAGACUGUGAAGCAUGUUCAUGUCCACGUUCUUCCGAGGAAGGCUGGAGACUUCCACAGGAAUGACAGCAUCUAUGAUGAGCUCCAGAGACAUGACAAAGCGGAGGAGGACACCCCAGCCUUGUGGAGGUCCGAGGAGGAAAUGGCAGCAGAAGCCGCAACCCUACGGGCCUACUUUCAGUGACUGUGCAGUCACUUCCAGGCACGAAAGUAACUUGAACAAAUCCCAAGGCAUAAGGAAAUGGGCCUCGUUCUCUAGGACUCCGCGGCAUUGGAAAUGAAGCUAAGCAGACUUUAUUACAUCCUACAAUUCUGCAACCUUUUGCGAAGCAUUUUAUUACACUUGUGGAAGCCAUCGGGGUUAUGUUUCAAUCAUGAUGACUGACAGGCUAACUUCAAAAUAACAGCAUCGACAGCCCUUCCACACUUCCUGGGCUAUGUACUUAGAAUAGAACCUUGUCUAAAUUGUCCCUUGGCCUGGAUGAAAAUAAAAUGGUAGUUAAAAUAUUUAUCUUGUGUGUU